CCCCAGAUGUUGCUGAACUACAACUCCCAUGAUUCUUUGAAUUACAUAGAUAAUCAGAGAAUCGUGGGAGUUGUAGUUCAGCAACAUCUGGGG
rnacentral:miRNA from 1 species